AUUGAUUUUAUGCUUGCAUAAAUGAUUUUUGGAUUCGGAGCGAGUGGCGAACUGGUGAGUAACACGUGGGUAACCUGCCCCGAAGCGGGGGAUAACAUUUGGAAACAAGUGCUAAUACCGCAUAAUUAGUUGGAACCGCAUGGUUCCAACUUGAAAGAUGGCUCUGCUAUCACUUUGGGAUGGACCCGCGCCGUAUUAGUUAGUUGGUGAGAUAAAAGCCCACCAAGACGAUGAUACGUAGCCGACCUGAGAGGGUAAUCGGCCACAUUGGGACUGAGACACGGCCCAGACUCCUACGGGAGGCAGCAGUAGGGAAUCUUCCACAAUGGACGAAAGUCUGAUGGAGCAACGCCGCGUGAGUGAUGAAGGUUUUCGGAUCGUAAAACUCUGUUGUUAAAGAAGAACAAGUGUUAGAGUAACUGUUAACACUUUGACGGUAUUUAACCAGAAAGCCACGGCUAACUACGUGCCAGCAGCCGCGGUAAUACGUAGGUGGCAAGCGUUGUCCGGAUUUAUUGGGCGUAAAGCGAGCGCAGGCGGUUUUGUAAGUCUGCUGUGAAAGCCCUCGGCUCAACUGAGGAAGUGCAGUGGAAACUACAAAACUUGAGUACAGAAGAGGAAAGUGGAACUCCAUGUGUAGCGGUGAAAUGCGUAGAUAUAUGGAAGAACACCAGUGGCGAAGGCGGCUUUCUGGUCUGUUACUGACGCUGAGGCUCGAAAGCAUGGGUAGCGAACAGGAUUAGAUACCCUGGUAGUCCAUGCCGUAAACGAUGAAUACUAGGUGUUGGAGGGUUUCCGCCCUUCAGUGCCGCAGCUAACGCAUUAAGUAUUCCGCCUGGGGAGUACGACCGCAAGGUUGAAACUCAAAGGAAUUGACGGGGGCCCGCACAAGUGGUGGAGCAUGUGGUUUAAUUCGAUGCUACGCGAAGGACCUUACCAGCUCUUGACAUCUUCUGCCAACCCAAGAGAUUGGGCGUUCCCUUCGGGGACAGAAUGACAGGUGGUGCAUGGUUGUCGUCAGCUCGUGUCGUGAGAUGUUGGGUUAAGUCCCGCAACGAGCGCAACCCUUAUUAUUAGUUGCCAGCAUUUAGUUGGGCACUCUAGUGAGACUGCCGGUGAUAAA
rnacentral:rRNA from 1 species